AAACUUUUUUAUAGCAAUUCUACAGUCCUUGAGGUACCAUGAGGUACCAAAAAAAUUAGUGUAAAAUUUGGUAUCUCUUGGUACAUGGUACUAUGAGGUACCAAAUUUACAAUAGAAAAAACGGUACCUCAUGGUACCUCUUCAAGGAUCGUAAAAUUGCUCUUUUUUUAAGUACAAACU
rnacentral:misc_RNA from 1 species